GAGAGCUUUCUGCUACUGCAAUCAAUGCUCCCAUGGUUCCAUCAGAGGUGUUGUCGGAGUUGGCUCCUUAUGUUGUGCUAGCUAAGAAGCUUGGCAGGCUGGCUGUGCAGUUGGUAUCCGGAGGGAGUGGCAUUAAGUCUGUGAAGCUUAUCUACCGAUCAGCUCGUGACCCUGAUGACUUGGACACAAGAAUUCUCCGAGCUAUGAUCACAAAAGGCAUCAUUGAACCGAUAUCAGCCUCGUUCAUCAACCUUGUCAAUGCAGAUUUCACAGCUAAACAGAAAGGCCUCCGGAUUAGCGAAGAGCGUGUGGUAGCUGACUCGUCCCCUGAGUUCCCUAUCGAUUCAAUCCAGGUUCAGUUAUCCAACGUGGAUUCCAAAUUUGCAGCUGCUGUUUCAGAAAAUGGAGAGAUAAGCAUUGAAGGGAAAGUGAAAUUUGGGAUACCUCACCUGACACGCGUGGGAUCAUUUGGUGUUGAUGCGAGCCUGGAAGGGAACCUCAUCCUGUGCCGGCAGGUUGAUCAGCCUGGCAUGAUUGGCAAGGUUGGGAACAUACUUGGUGAGCAUAAUGUCAAUGUGAACUUCAUGAGUGUAGGAAGAACUUUCAGGAGGAAUCAUGGGAUCAUGGCAAUCGGCGUUGAUGAAGAACCAAAUCAGGAUUCCCUCAAGGAAAUAGGAAAGGUGCCUGCAAUUGAAGAGUU
rnacentral:lncRNA from 1 species